AAUUAGGCUUAGAUUAAACUCUUUUUUUCUAGGCCCAAACAUUUAAAUCAUUAGCCCAAAAAAAGAACCCAUUACUAAUACCCUAAAUCCUUCUCCUCCUUCCUCAUUUCAAAAAAAAAGAACAGCAGCUUUCUUCUCCCAUUUGGGCUCCGCCGCCACCAGCCUCACCGCCCCCACUCGCCAGCGCCGCCGCUCCGGCUGCGCUCAUCUCUCCCUUCUCUCUCUCUCUCUCACUCUUCUAUCUUAUCUCAGCCUCACGCCACCGCCGUCCCUUCUUUCUCCCCAGAUUCGCCGCACCUCUGCCACCGCUGCGGGUCCGCCGUCGACGCGGAUCCGCCUCAGCCGCUGUCGCCGAUGGCCUCCCUAGCCGCCGUGGAUUCUGCUAUCACCUCGUGCAGCAAGCGGCGGCUCCGGCAUCUCCCCCUAUGCUGUUGCUUCACCACCGGCAGCCUCCCCCACACUCUGCGACCACUGACCCCCUCCUCCGACAACACCACAACCGCCGUCCACCUCAUCCAGUUGCAUGUAGGCGGGUGAAAGUUACGAUUUUGGUGGUUGAUUUGGGGUAUGGAACGUUUUUUUUAUUGACGAAGGAGUGCCGAAGCUUGCUGUCGGAAGUCCGGUAGAUUCAUCUUCUAAGAUAAGUUACUAUCAUUAAUUGAGAAACUGCCAUUUUACCAUUUUAUGCUUAGACGUGUCAUAGCAACUAUGUUCUUGAUUAGCUAUGUUCUUCAAGACUAAGUUUGCCUACAUGUAAAAUUUUAAUAUGUUAAUAAGUGAGUUGUUGUACUUACUUUUGUUUGAUUAUGAAAGAGAGUUGUUGAAUUUUGUGCUUUCGUGUGAUGGUGUAGCUGAAUUUGUUUACUCCUCUUGCUUCAGCUUGUUAUGAGAUUAUGUGGGGUUUAUGAAGGGAUUGUGUGGGGUUUGUGAAGGUGAUGUUUUAUGGUGAAAGAAAAUGGGUAAAUACACUGAUUUAUAUAUAAAAAAAGAGCAGACGUAUCUUGCAAUUAUUCUUGCAGAGAAUAAUUACCAUAUGUGUCAGAGAAGGAGGAUUUUUUUUCUACCCUUCAUUAAUGCAGCAUUCAUUAUUUCUAUUACUCAUCAAGGCAGCAUUUAAUGCUGCCAUGACAAUGGUCCUUCUCGGAUAAGCUAAAAAAAAUAUUAAUUAUUUUUUUUUAUUUGAGUAUUUGCUUACUUAAUCAUUUAAUUUGGUGUAGGUAUAAUUGGUUCAAGUUCGUGGUCCUCCGUGUUGAAGCACCCGCUUUCUUAAAACAUACGAUGUAAAGAAUAAAAAUUUUGUUGGACUUUUAUCGAAUGUAUCGGACAUUAAAAUUUUAAUUA